rnacentral:rRNA from 1 species
UACGGGGGGAGCAAGCGUUGUUCGGAUUUACUGGGCGUAAAGGGCGCGUAGGCGGCCACCGCAAGUCGACUGUGAAAUCUCCGGGCUUAACCCGGAAAGGUCAGCCGAUACUGCGGGGCUAGAGUGCAGAAGGGGCAACUGGAAUUCUCGGUGUAGCGGUGAAAUGCGUAGAUAUCAGGAGGAACACCGAUGGCGAAGGCAGGUCUCUGGGCCACUACUGACGCUGAGAAGCGAAAGCAUGGGGAUCAAACAGG